rnacentral:rRNA from 1 species
UACGUAGGCAGCGAGCGUUGUUCGGAGUUACUGGGCGUAAAGAGCGCGCAGGCGGUCGUUCAAGUCGAGUGUGAAAGCCCCCGGCUCAACUGGGGAGGGUCACGCGAUACUGAUCGACUCGAAGGCAGGAGAGGGUAGUGGAAUUCCCGGUGUAGUGGUGAAAUGCGUAGAUAUCGGGAGGAACACCAGUGGCGAAGGCGACUACCUGGCCUGUUCUUGACGCUGAGGCGCGAAAGCUAGGGGAGCAAACGGG